rnacentral:rRNA from 1 species
GACGAACGCUGGCGGCGUGCCUAACACAUGCAAGUCGAACGGAACUGUUUUGAACGUUUUCUUCGGACUGUAUUUGCUUUAGUUUAGUGGCGGACGGGUGAGUAACGCGUGAGUACCCUGCCUUCAAGAGGGGAAUAACACUCUGAACAGAAUGCUAAUACCGCCUGACAUAUCGGUACCACAUGGUUUUGAUAUCAAAGAUUUUAUCGCUUGAAGCUGGACUCGCGUCCGUUUAGUUAGUUGGUGAGGUCACGGCCCACCAAGACCGCGAUCGGUAGCCGGACUGCGGAGUUGAACGGCAACAUUGGGACUGAGACACGGCCCAGACACCUACGGGAGGCAGCAGUGGGGGAUAUUGCGCAAUGGGGGCAAGCCUGACGCAGCAACGGAGCGUGAAGGAUGAAGGUUUUCGGAUUGUAAACUUCUUUUAUUAAGGACGAAAAAUGACGGUACUUAAUGAAUAAGCUCCGGCUAACUACGUG